GACGAACGCUGGCGGCGUGCUUAACACAUGCAAGUCGAGCGAGACCCACCUUUCGGGGUGGUGUUCUAGCGGCGAACGGGUGAGUAACACGUGGGCAACCUGCCCUCAGCUCUGGGAUAACUCCAAGAAAUUGGGGCUAAUACCGGAUAUGACCGCUGACCGCAUGGUCUGGUGGUGGAAAGAUUUAUCGGCUGGGGAUGGGCCCGCGGCCUAUCAGCUUGUUGGUGGGGUAGUGGCCUACCAAGGCGACGACGGGUAGCCGGCCUGAGAGGGUGACCGGCCACACUGGGACUGAGACACGGCCCAGACUCCUACGGGAGGCAGCAGUGGGGAAUAUUGCGCAAUGGGCGGAAGCCUGACGCAGCGACGCCGCGUGGGGAUGACGGCCU
rnacentral:rRNA from 1 species